GCGUACCUCCCGGCUUCGGUCGGGUAGGGAAGCGGCAGACGGCUGAGUAACGCGUGAGUAAUUUGCCCUCCGGUGGGGUAUAGCCUCGGGAAACUGUGGGUAAUCCCGCAUUCGAUCCUUCCUCCCUGGAGGAAGGAGGAAAGCCUUCGGGCGCCGGAGGAGAAGCUCGCGUCCUAUCAGGUAGUUGGUGAGGUAACGGCUCACCAAGCCGAUGACGGGUAGCUGGUCUGAGAGGACGACCAGCCAGAGGGGGACUGAGACACGGCCCCCACUCCUACGGGAGGCAGCAGCAGGGAAUUUUGGGCAAUGGGCGAAAGCCUGACCCAGCGACGUCGCGUGGGGGAUGAAGGCCUUAGGGCUGUAAACCCCUUUUCCGGGGGAAGAGGAAGGACGGUACCUCGGGAAUAAGCUCCGGCUAACUACGUGCCAGCAGCCGCGGUAAUACGUAGGGAGCAAGCGUUACCCGGAAUUACUGGGCGUAAAGAGAUCGUAGGCGGCUAGGCAAGUCUCUUGUGAAAGCUCCCGGCUUAACUGGGAGAGGUCAAGGGAUACUACCUGACUUGAGGGCAGUAGAGGAAGGCGGAAUUCCCGGUGUAGCGGUGAAAUGCGUAGAUAUCGGGAGGAACGCCAGUGGCGAAAGCGGCCUUCUGGGCUGUGCCUGACGCUGA
rnacentral:rRNA from 1 species